rfam:Thermomicrobium roseum DSM 5159, complete genome.
CCGUGCUAGGCGGGGAGCUAGCGGUGCCCUGUACCCGCAAUCCGCUCUAGCGGGGCCGAAUUCCCUCCCGAGGUCCAACCCUGUGGGACUGCUUGGGCCACGCGGUGAGGAUGGUUGGGUCCCACGCGGCGAGGACCCGUGAACCUGGUCAGGGCCGGAAGGCAGCAGCCAUAAGCGGUCUUCCUCGGGCGACGUGGGAGUGCCUGGCCGGAGCUAGCGAGCCCAGUGCAAGCUGGAGGGUUGCGAUCGACGGAGGGUGCACGG